rnacentral:rRNA from 1 species
GAUGAACGCUGGCGGCGUGCCUAAUACAUGCAAGUCGAGCGAACGGACGAGAAGCUUGCUUCUCUGAUGUUAGCGGCGGACGGGUGAGUAACACGUGGAUAACCUACCUAUAAGACCGGGAUAACUUCGGGAAACCGGAGCUAAUACCGGAUAAUAUUUUGAACCGCAUGGCUCAAAAGUGAAAGACGGUCUUGCUGUCACUUAUAGAUGGAUCCGCGCUGCAUUAGCUAGUUGGUAAGGUAACGGCUUACCAAGGCAACGAUGCAUAGCCGACCUGAGAGGGUGAUCGGCCACACUGGAACUGAGACACGGUCCAGACUCCUACGGGAGGCAGCAGUAGGGAAUCUUCCGCGAUGGGCGAAAGCCUGACGGAGCAACGCCGCGUGAGUGAUGAAGGUCUUCGGAUCGUAAAACUCUGUUAUUAGGGAAGAACAUAUGUGUAAGUAACUGUGCACAUCUUGACGGUACCUAAUCAGAAAGCCACGGCUAACUACGUG